GUAGGUGGCAAGCGUUGUCCGGAAUUAUUGGGCGUAAAGCGCGCGCAGGCGGUCCUUUAAGUCUGAUGUGAAAGCCCACGGCUCAACCGUGGAGGGUCAUUGGAAACUGGGGGACUUGAGUACAGAAGAGGAAAGCGGAACUCCACGUGUAGCGGUGAAAUGCGUAGAGAUGUGGAGGAACACCAGUGGCGAAGGCGGCUUUCUGGUCUGUAACUGACGCUGAGGCGCGAAAGCGUGGGGAGCAAACAGGGAUUAGAUACCCUGGUAGUCCACGCCGUAAACGAUGAGUGCUAAGUGUUAGGGGGUUUCCCGCCCCUUAGUGCUGCAGCUAACGCAUUAAGCACUCCGCCUGGGGAGUACGGCCGCAAGGCUG
rnacentral:rRNA from 1 species